rnacentral:rRNA from 1 species
GACGAACCGUGCGAACGUUAUUCGGAAUCACUGGGCUUAAAGCGCGUGUAGGCGGGCGGGAACGUCGGUCGCUGAAAUCCCCCGGCUCAACCGGGGAACGGGCGCCGAAACGACCCGCCUGGAGGGACGUAGGGGGACCUGGAACUUCCGGUGGAGCGGUGAAAUGCGUUGAGAUCGGAAGGAACGCCCGUGGCGAAAGCGAGGUCCUGGACGUCUUCUGACGCUGAGACGCGAAAGCUAGGGGAGCGAACAGG